GACGAACGCUGGCGGCGUGCUUAACACAUGCAAGUCGAACGGAAAGGCCCUGCUUUUGUGGGGUGCACGAGUGGCGAACGUGUGAGUAUCACGUGAGUAACCUGCCCUUGUCUUUGGGAUAACUUCAGGAGACUCGGGCUAAUACCGGAUAGGAGCUCCUGCUGCAUUGUGGGGGUUGGUAAGUUUCGGCGGUUGGGGAUGUACUCGCGGCUUCUGAGCUUCUUGGUGUGGUAGUGGCUUACCAAGGCUUUGACGGGUAGCCGGCCUGAGAGGGGGACCGGCCACAUGGGGACUGAGAUACGGCCCAGAAUCCAACGGGACGCAGCAGUGGGGAGUAUUGCACAAUGGGCGCAAGCCUGAUGUAGCAACGCCGCGUGCGGGAUGACGGCCUUCGGGUUGUAAACCGCUUUCGCCUGUGACGAAGCGUGAGUGACGGUAAUGGGUAAAGAAGCACCGGCUAACUACGUG
rnacentral:rRNA from 1 species